UCACAUUUGAUAAGCUGGAUAAAAUGGAGACCAAAAAUUAGGCGUGUAACCUUUGAAACAAAACAUUUAGAAAGGUAAAACAGUACGGUUUACAAAAAAAAAACAAUUACAGUUAUUUUGAGUUUUGCCAAAAAAAGAUACAUCUGUGGAAGUAGGCAACAUUUUCGUUGAACUUACAUUUUGGGCUUCUUCUCCAUUGCUUCUUUCUUUAGUCAUCACUAACUUUAAAACAAACACAGAUACAAAACAUAUUUGUAAAUUAGUUAUAUUAAAACAACCCGAUUAGUAAAUACUCACUUUGUAUACAUAUAUACAUAUUGUUACCUAAAAUUGCUGUCAUAUUCUGAUUUUUCUUUCUUGUUUGAAGAAAGCUUUGAAAUUGUAGUACCCUCUUCAACCUCAGUCAUACCUAAAGAAUUAAAAAGAAUGAGAGAACAUUGAAUUGAAAUGAAAGCAAAUUAAAUCUGAAAAUCACUUGUAUAGAUUUUUUUACUAUACUCAAAACACAAGAAGAAGAAGAUGUAAAAGAAUUAGAAACGAUGUUAAAGAAAGAGGCAGAAUAAAUAAGUUCUUUGAAUCUAACCUAUACUAAAAAGGUUAUAUGAGCAUCAGAGAGUGUGUCCACGUAGGACAAUUAAAUCAGCCAAUAAGGUAAUCUGUUUUUGCCACGUAAGCCACCAAAUUAGUAUUCGGUUGGGCUUUUUAUUUCAUUUGAUCCGUCAAAUAAUUUUGUUUGUUUGGCCCAUUGAAAUCCUAAUACCUUUCCACGAGCGUCGAUUCCUUUGGUCUUCCUCUUCGUCGUUUCCUUUUCUCCCUAACCGAUCAAUCCUAAUAAACAUCUCUAACUCUUCUGCAAUCAAACCUCCAUUAACCUCAUUAAUGGCAUUGUUUCGAACAUGCAUAGAGUAAAUUCUUUGUGCUCUCUACGAUGAAUCCCAACAGCGAAUCCCAUGUUUCUGGCGAUCUUAUCUCCAAGAAAUCAAACGGAAAGGACGGUGUCUCCUCCGACGAGCCGAUCGAAUGUACCGGCCAAAGCGGUGUGUCUUCAGCCAAAGCUGUCUCCAGCGAUCCUCUGUCGAAGAAACCAAACGGCAAGGCCGUUGUCUCCUCCGCCGAGCCCAUCAAACAUAGCAGCGGAACCGGUGUCCCUAAAUCUCAGCCUAUAUCUUCAUCUCCGUCUCUUCCUUACCUUUCGUUCAACGUUUAUGCAACCUCUCAUCAACUCUACUAACGGUGAAUUCUCUCUCUCUCUCAUUAGUUGACUAUCUGUAAACCUAAUUCUCUUUAACUUUAUCAAUGUCUGCUUCCGUGAAAACUCCAUCACCUAACAUAACUACAAAAGUACACGGAAGCUUGAUCAUGGAGUUUAUUGCAAAUGGUGGGUUAGUCCCGCUAUAAGCAAGGCCAUGGAUGGUUAAAUCCUCAACUCUGAGUAAUGGAGCUCUCUCAGUGCAUUGUUCAGGAUGUUGCUUUCAGUGCUCCUUUCUUACAAGUUACAACUUCCUUAUUUAAAUAAAUCAAACGCUAAAAGGAUAGGGUUGCAGGUUAGAUUAUUUUGAGAGUUUCAAGAGGUGCACCUGGAAGAACAUUCUUAACCACUCACGGAGGUUGCUGGUUUGACGGAGAGCGAUGUUGUGGACAUCGUGAAGGUGUAAGAAUGAUACCUCUCUGAAAGUAGAAGUCACUUGCAAAACAAAAGGUGAGGAAGUUUUCGAGAAAGCAACUUUACGACAGUGACACUCUGAAACGCCUCAGUGGAAUAUUAGGCGCUAUUCUUCAUUGGGCUUACUUCCCUUUCCGCAAAGAGAAAAGCUUAUGGGUUCUUCUUGCGGAUUCAAACAAUAUCUGUUUCUUCCUGAAGGUUGCUUUCAUGGACAGAGUUUGAAGCUAUAAGCAUUGCGUCGAGUGCUAUUUAGACAGUGAAUACUUUAGGAGAAAGCGUCGAGAUAAAUCAUAAUGCAGUUAGAGAAGUUCCAACUCUGUGAGAAGAUUAAAAGUGGGUCUAGAUUGGUUUUGCAGCCACUUUCCGAGGUAGGUGGAAUGAUACUGAGACAAGAACGUCAAUACUCUUGCUAACCAGUCUAAAUUUCAAAAAAUACUUGGAGGUGUUGUAACCCUUAGCUUCACAAAUUCCCCACGACUCUUCUUUGAUUCCGUCGUCAGUGUGACAGAAAAAUAUCUAUCAAGGUUUGGAGCAAAUGGAGAUACCACACCAGCUAUCAAAAGCUCCUCCGCAGCUAUCAAUAGCCUCCACUAUGUGAUGACGGUGGUGGUGAGGCAACCUUUGUCAUCUUUAAGCAGCACUGAAACUGGUUGGUGGACAAGCGCCAUUGGUCAUGAACGAGAUGAGAGAGAUACUUACAAUCAAUAAGUGUAACACUAGAUAUCUAUAAGUCUCAUGAGAGUGCUCCCAAUGAAGAAGCAGCCAUAACAACACCACAGUGUUUCCAAGACACUAUUGGAUGCUUAUGCAACUUCAAGUCAAGCUCACGGAUUUUAAUUUCAAGUUACUUACAAGAUAGUCAGGGUCUUCUGUAUUAUUAUGAUACCAUUUAAAAGGGUUCAACUAACCUUACAAGUUACAAACCAAUGAUGCGGUAGACAGAUUUAAGUUUUUGUUUCUGAUUUUUACAAUAGCUAACCCCUUCCAUUUUAUGUUUUUAAUUCUGAUUUCGAACACCCAAGUACUAUUGUUAUCUAUUUCUUAGUUGCACCA